UACAGAGGUCUCAAGCGUUGUUCGGAUUUACUGGCGUAAAGGGCGCGUAGGCGGUCAGCACAAGUCAGUUGUGAAAUCUCCGAGCUUAACUCGGAACGGUCAACUGAUACUGUGCGACUAGAGUGCGGAAGGGGCAACUGGAAUUCUCGGUGUAGCGGUGAAAUGCGUAGAUAUCGAGAGGAACACCUGCGGCGAAGGCGGGUGCUGGGCCGACACUGACGCUGAUGCGCGAAAGCCAGGGGAGCGAACGGG
rnacentral:rRNA from 1 species